ACGACUUUCAGCGGCGGAUGUCUUGGUUCCCACAUCGAUGAAGAACGCAGCGAAAUGCGAUACGUAAUGCGAAUUGCAGAGUCUUGCGAGUCAUCAAAUUUUCGAACGCACCUGGCACUUCCGGGUAUUCCUGGGAGUAUGCUUUAUAGAGUGUCUGUU
rnacentral:rRNA from 1 species